GUCCCCAUCGUCUAGCCUGGUCCAGGACAUCGCCCUUUCACGGCGGUAACAGGGGUUCGAAUCCCCUUGGGGACGCCA
rnacentral:tRNA from 1 species